UUCCCCAUUUUUCUUUCCCUUUUUCGCGACUAUCUCUCUCUUCUCCCUCAAUGGAACCGACGAUUCAUCACACCCCAAAUCCAUAGCAUCGAUUCAAAUCCACCUCAAAUCCAUAAAAAUCCGAUUUAUGUUCGGAUCGAUCUGAUUAUUCAGAUCUCACGGCCAUCGAUCUCCGAGAACAAUAACGACUGCGGAUGGUGACUGACCUUUAGGGGACUACCAGGUUUGACGCUUGGUGUAUUGCAUAACACAGGACUUAUUUCCAAAGUCUUUGAUCUUUGGUUCCAGAUGUUGCAGCAAAAGAGAAAAAGUGUGGAGAUGAAGCACAAAGCGUGAAGGUGCAGAAGUUAGCUGCACAGGCAAAGGUUUUGUAUUGCAAGACUCAUUUUGAACAGCUCUUCAAAGAAUCUGGAAAUUUCAGCAAGAAUUUUUAAACAGCGGGAAAGACCGAGAAAUUAUAAAUUGAAUGAAACGUCGAGGGCUCCAGUAGAGAAGAUGACAAUGGAAGAAGAAUCUUACCACAAGACUUGCUUCAGAUGUACACAUAGUGGUUGUCCAUUAACACACUCUUCAUAUGCUGCUCUCGAUGGCAUCUUUUACUGUAAAGUCCACAGUUUUUUUAACUAAUGCAAUGAAGUAGAUCCAUAUUCUCUUUUGUUUCUUUUUUUUUUUUUAUGGAACUGAAAUUUUAAAGAUUAAGCAAUUUUGAG